GACGAACGCUGGCGGCGUGCUUAACACAUGCAAGUCGAACGAAGAGCGAUGGAAGCUUGCCUCUAUCAAUCUUAGUGGCGAACGGGUGAGUAACGCGUAAUCAACCUGCCCUUCAGAGGGGGACAACAGUUGGAAACGACUGCUAAUACCGCAUACGAUCCAAUCUCGGCAUCGGGACUGGAUGAAAGGUGGCCUCUAUUUAUAAGCUAUCACUGAAGGAGGGGAUUGCGUCUGAUUAGCUAGUUGGAGGGGUAACGGCCCACCAAGGCGAUGAUCAGUAGCCGGUCUGAGAGGAUGAACGGCCACAUUGGGACUGAGACACGGCCCAGACUCCUACGGGAGGCAGCAGUGGGGAAUCUUCCGCAAUGGACGAAAGUCUGACGGAGCAACGCCGCGUGAGUGAUGACGGCCUUCGGGUUGUAAAGCUCUGUUAAUCGGGACGAAUGGUUCUUGUGCGAAUAGUGCGAGGAUUUGACGGUACCGGAAUAGAAAGCCACGGCUAACUACGUG
rnacentral:rRNA from 1 species